GCACGAGUGAGAAUGCAGGCAUGAGUAGCGAAAGACGAGUGAGAAACUCGUCCGCCGAAUGACCAAGGGUUCCUGGGCCAGGUUAAUCCGCCCAGGGUGAGUCGGGACCUAAGGCGAGGCCGACAGGCGUAGUCGAUGGACAACGGGUUGAUAUUCCCGUACCCGUGUGAACGCGCCCCUGGUGAAUCAGUGAUGCUAAGCGCCCUGAAGCCGCCUUCGAACCUUCGGGUUCUCCGGUGUGUGGAUGCGCGUGAACCGAUCUGGUAGUAGCCAAGCGAUGGGGUGACGCAGGAAGGUAGCUGAGCCAGUCAGUGGUAAUACUGGUGUAAGCGUGUAGGGCGUGACCUAGGCAAAUCCGGGUCACAUACAGCCUGAGACGUGAUGCGUAGCCGAUUGAGGCGAAUUCAGUGAUCCUAUGCUGCCGAGAAAAGCCUCUAGCGAGCUUUCACACGGCCCGUACCCCAAACCGACACAGGUGGUCAGGUAGAGAAUACUAAGGCGAUCGAGAUAACUGUGGUUAAGGAACUCGGCAAAAUGCCCCCGUAACUUCGGGAGAAGGGGGGCCUCGUCUGGUGACGGAACUUGCUUCCUGAGCUGGGUGGGGCCGCAGAGACCAGAGAGAAGCGACUGUUUACUAAAAACACAGGUCCGUGCGAAGUCGUAAGACGAUGUAUACGGACUGACGCCUGCCCGGUGCUGGAAGGUUAAGAGGACCGGUUAGCCAGUAAUGGCGAAGCUGAGAAUUUAAGCCCCAGUAAACGGCGGUGGUAACUAUAACCAUCCUAAGGUAGCGAAAUUCCUUGUCGGGUAAGUUCCGACCUGCACGAAUGGCGUAACGACUUCUCUGCUGUCUCAACCACAGACUCGGCGAAAUUGCAUUACGAGUAAAGAUGCUCGUUACGCGCGGCAGGACGAAAAGACCCGGGACCUUCACUAUAGCUUGGUAUUGGUGUUCGGUUCGGUUUGUGUAGGAUAGGUGGGAGACUGUGAAGCGGGCACGCCAGUGUUCGUGGAGUCGUUGUUGAAAUACCACUCUGAUCGUAUUGGACAUCUAACCUCGGACCAUGAUCUGGUUCAGGGACAGUGCCUGGUGGGUAGUUUAACUGGGGCGGUUGCCUCCCAAAAUGUAACGGAGGCGCCCAAAGGUUCCCUCAGCCUGGUUGGCAAUCAGGUGUCGAGUGCAAGUGCACAAGGGAGCUUGACUGUGAGACUGACAGGUCGAGCAGGGACGAAAGUCGGGACUAGUGAUCCGGCACCGGCAAGUGGAAGCGGUGUCGCUCAACGGAUAAAAGGUACCCCGGGGAUAACAGGCUGAUCUUCCCCAAGAGUCCAUAUCGACGGGAUGGUUUGGCACCUCGAUGUCGGCUCGUCGCAUCCUGGGGCUGGAGUAGGUCCCAAGGGUUGGGCUGUUCGCCCAUUAAAGCGGCACGCGAGCUGGGUUUAGAACGUCGUGAGACAGUUCGGUCUCUAUCCGCCGCGCGCGUUAGAAACUUGAGGAAGGCUGUCCCUAGUACGAGAGGACCGGGACGGACGAACCUCUGGUGUGCCAGUUGUUCCGCCAGGAGCACUGCUGGUUAGCUACGUUCGGAAGGGAUAACCGCUGAAAGCAUCUAAGCGGGAAGCCUGUUCCAAGAUGAGGUUUCUCACCCCCUCGAGGGGGUAAGGCCCCCGGCAGACCACCGGGUUGAUAGGCCAGAACUGGAAGCACAGUAAUGUGUGGAGGUGACUGGUACUAAUAGGCCGAGGACUUACCACAA
rnacentral:rRNA from 1 species